rnacentral:rRNA from 1 species
AUACCCCACUAUGCCAAGUCGUAAAAAAUCAACUUACACAACCAACGCCAGGGUAUUACGAGCCUCAGCUUAAAACCCAAAGGACUUGACGGUGUCCCACCCUACUAGAGGAGCCUGUUCUAUAAUCGAUAACCCUCGUUACACCCCACCAUUUUUUGCUUUCAGUCUGUAUACCUCCGUCGUAAACUUACCACAUGAAUGAACCACAGUAGGUUCAAUAGCCCACACUAUAACGUCAGGUCAAGGUGCAGCUUAUAAAAUGGAAAGUAAUGGGCUACAAUUUCUAAACGAACAAACGAAUUACUACAUGAAAUAUAGUCAUGAAGGAGGAUUUAGCAGUAAAUAGGGAAUAGAGAGCCCUAUUAAAUCCGGCCCUGGGACGUGUACACACC